rnacentral:rRNA from 1 species
GGUAUUUUGACUAUACAAAGGUAUUGAAAUAAGAUUUUAAUUGAAUGCUAAGAGAAUGGAAAUACAGGAAAAACCUUUUUUUAAAUUAAAAAUUGAAAUUUUUUUAAUUUGUGCAGAAACAAUUAUUAAUAUUAAGGACAAGAAGACCCUAUGAAUUUAUUAAAUUUUAUUUAAUAUGUAAUUACUAUUAGAAAAAUUUUGGCUGGGGCGGCUAAAAAAUAUUUUAAACUUUUUAAAAAUAAAAUGAUCCAUUAUUAAUGAUUAUAUGUUAAAUA